rnacentral:rRNA from 1 species
ACGGAAGGCAGCAGUGGGGAAUAUUGCACAAUGGGGGAAACCCUGAUGCAGCGACGCCGCGUGAGCGAAGAAGUAUUUCGGUAUGUAAAGCUCUAUCAGCAGGGAAGAAAAUGACGGUACCUGACUAAGAAGCUCCGGCUAAAUACGUGCCAGCAGCCGCGGUAAUACGUAUGGAGCAAGCGUUAUCCGGAUUUACUGGGUGUAAAGGGAGCGUAGACGGGACAGCAAGUCUGAUGUGAAAGGCGGGGGCUUAACCCCUGGACUGCAUUGGAAACUGUUGACCUUGAGUGCCGGAGAGGUAAGCGGAAUUCCUAGUGUAGCGGUGAAAUGCGUAGAUAUUAGGAGGAACACCAGUGGCGAAGGCGGCUUGCUGGACGACAACUGACGCUGAGGCGCGAAAGCGUGGGGAGCAAACAGGAUUAGAUACCCUGGUA